rnacentral:rRNA from 1 species
AUUGAACGCUGGCGGCAGGCCUAACACAUGCAAGUCGAACGAGACGCGGAAGGGUGAGUACAGUCUGGGCAACUGACCGCUGGAGGGGGAUAACUACUGGACACGGUAGCCAAAACCGCAUACAACCGUAUAUGCCGAGAUGGGGUUAUCUAGUAGGUGGGGUACCGGCGCACCUCGGCGACGAUCCCUAGCUGGUCUGCGAGGAUGACCAGGCACACUGGAACUGAGACACGGUCCAGACUCCGACGUGAGGCAGCAGUGGGGAAUAUUGCACAAUGGGCGCAAGCCUGAUGCAGCCAUGCCGCGUGUAUGAAGAAGGCCUUCGGGUUGUAAAGGACUUUCAGCGGGGAGGCGUUACCCGCAGAAGAAGCACCGGCUAACUUCGUGCCAGCAGCCGCGGUAAUAC